rnacentral:misc_RNA from 1 species
ACUCUAUUUUUAUUUUCACACGUGUCGUGCAAUUUUGUUGACGGUUUACCAUAUGUUAUGUAAAUAGUUCGCUUUACACUGUGAUUUUGAGUAUUUAGAUUGCUCUGUGGAUUUUUUAUAAUGACAUCGCCAAUAAUAACACAGUUCUUUCCUCCACUCAAAAAUGAUUUGAUAUUAAGAGCAGCAAGAGGAGAAAAGACAGAGCGUACACCGGUUUGGCUGAUGCGACAAGCGGGCCGAUAUUUGCCAGAAUAUGGAGAAUUUAAAUCUAAACAUUCAGCCUCCUUCUUUGACAUGGUCAGAAAUCCUGAGUCUUCUUGUGAAAUAACUCUUCAGCCUCUUAAACGCUUUGAUCUUGAUGCAGCUAUCAUCUUUUCGGAUAUUCUAGUCAUACCACAAGCAUUAGGGAUAGGAAUAGAAAUUGAAGAAGGAAAGUUCUUACUUUUUAGGGAAUGACAUUUGACUUUUUACUGCAAACUCCUGAAGAUCUGAAGAAACUGAACACAAUAGUUGAUGUAACCCAGGAGCUUCAUUAUGUCAUGGAUGCCAUAACUCUGACCAGGCAGAGAUUGGAGGGACGAUGUCCUCUCAUCGGCUUCGCUGGUGCUCCUUGGACCAUCAUGAAAUAUAUGAUUGACGGUUCGUCGUCAGCCCCUGUCCCCAAGGCCAGAAGGUGGCUGGUGCAGUACCCUGAGGCCAGUAACACCUUACUGAAGCUACUUACUACGAAAACUAUCGAUUACCUUGUGGCUCAGGUCAAAGCCGGUGCUCAGUUGCUCCAGGUGUUUGACAGUAAUGCUGGUGAGCUUGGUCCUGCGCUGUUCAAUAAAUUUGGACUGACUUACCUCAGACAGUUAGCUUACGGUGUCAAGGAGCGACUCACGGAACAGAACAUAGAACAUGUUCCGAUGACAGUGUUUGCUAAAGAUGUCCACUUUGCCCUGGAGGAUCUGUCUAACAGUGGAUAUGAUGUUGUCAGCAUCGACUGGACCAUUAAACCCACCCACGCUAGGAGGUUGGUUGGAAGUCAAGUGACUUUGCAGGGAAACCUUGAUCCAUGUAUGCUGUAUUCCACGAAGGAUGAACUGAAGCAUGCUGUCAAAGAUAUGGUGACCAAGUUUGGUCCCCAGCGCUACAUUGCUAAUCUGGGUCAUGGGGUGAUCAGGGAUACCGACCCUGAGAAUGUGCGGACAUUUGUGGAUUCAGUUCACAUCUACUCCGAGGAAAUUAAUGCCAAUGCAUAGCAGUGUAUCCCACAUCAAUACGUCAUACUGUGUGAGAGGUUGAUGGAAGAAGAAAGUGAUUGAUUUGUAUGAAUGCUGAAUUGCUGUAUAGUGGCUGCCUUAUUAAUUAUCUAUUUCUGGGUAGAGACCCAUAUCAAUUAUUUAAUAAAAGUUAAUGCUAAAAAAUAUUCAAGAAAAAUU